rnacentral:ncRNA from 1 species
ACUCUUUGAGGUGGUAAAUUUCGUGUCGACCACACGCCGCCGGUAGGACAGGGGCAACCCGAGAGAUGCAGGAGCAGGCACGCCUGCCAAAGAGU